rnacentral:rRNA from 1 species
AUGCAGACAAAGGGGCCUCUGAAGAGUAACGCUGAGGUGCGUGGCUCGGUGAUGCUCAUGUCCGGGAUGGGUGCGUUGACGCUGCAAGCGGGGCGGGAAAUAAUGCAGAUGAACUGGCGAUGGAUAUACGCUGACCGACGCACUCCGGAGUUCAUGAAAGGCUUGCGUUAUUUUCUGGAUGUGGCCCAGGCAAAUAAGCGGAAUAAUUUUAUGUGUUGUCCAAGUGCUGUUUGUCGGAAUCAGAAGGAACAGUCUUCCCACAGAGUCCUCCACAGCCACCUGCUUCAGCACGGUUUCAUGUCCGGCUAUAAUUGUUGGACCAAGCACGGAGAAAGAGGGGUUAUGAUGGAAGACAACGAAGAGGAAGAUAAUGAUGACAACUAUCAUGAUAUGUUCCCUGAAUACGGUACUGGUACUGGAAUGGAUGAUGAUGGAGAAGAAGCAGAAGACCAGCGGGCACCAGAUGAUCCCAUCGACGAUCUUGGCCAAGUCAUUACGGAUGCAAAAGGGAGAAUGCGAAGUUGA